rnacentral:miRNA from 1 species
UAUCCGGACUACAACAAAAGUA